GAACUUUCCUAUGAGGUUUUAUCAAAAGGUUGUUUACAACUUUAAUAAACUAAUACAAGGGUAAAAUUUGGCUUUAAACAGGAUUUUCAUGUAAUAGUAAAGGAUGAUGAAAGAUUUUUUCCUUUUGUGACAUCAUUUUGGCAAAAUAAAUAAUGGCAAUUUGGAAUUCUAUUUCAUAACAUCAAGUGUUUUAAACCUCUAACAUUUAAAAGGCAUCCCAAAAUCAAGCUUCAAGUUUCAAAAUUGUCCUUCCUGAUGCCUGGCUUUCUGGAUUGUUCAGAAGGCCCCUGAAACAUCCAGAGAAGAGGACACAAAUGGAAAAACUGGCUAUUUUAUCAAGGCUUUGACUGGAAGUGUAUGCUUCCCUUUAAGGAGUCAACCUCCACUUGCAGAGCUGAAAAAGCCCCAUGGGAAGAACUGGCCUCAUACCUUGUCUACACAGUCCCCGCACAGGGUUCCUAACCUUUGGUCAGUAAAGAAUGUCACUUUCUAACAGGUCCAGGAGCUCCAAGUUUAUCUUGGGACCUUAAGAGAAAAGGAUCACCCAACUCACAGGUAUUUGAAGAUACAAACCCAUGCUGGGCUCAGCUUUAAGAAGUCUUAUCUGAGAUUUCUUGUGGAACAGAGUUCCAUCGAAGCCAAUCCAAAAGGACUAUGCAGAAAUAAUUACUCUUGCUGAACUUUAUGCAAAUAACAAGGCCAAAUAUAAGACUAAGGUUUAUUCUACAAACAACACGGUCCUAUCAUAAUUUGUUUUUACCAAAAUCAGGACUAGAGAGAGAAAAUAUGCUCCAAAGCUUAUCAUACAUUUGUCAUUAAAUCCUAGUCACAUUAA
rnacentral:lncRNA from 10 species